CAUAAUUUUGAACAGCUUCCACUGUUGGAUCUUCUCUAGUUUUCUCAACUUCUAAAACUUCCUUUGCUGUGUGAAAGACCAUAACUGGCUUGCCACCUACAACACUUGGUUUCAGUGGGUUAAGCUGAGAAUCUAAAAAAAGAACUUAAAUUCCAUUGAAAAACGCACUGAAAGUAAAAAAUACAGGAGGUAUCCAUCUGGAAUUUC
rnacentral:ribozyme from 1 species